UGGUCUUAGCUUGCUAAGGCCGAUGGCGACCGGCGCACGGGUGAGUAACACGUAUCCAACCUGCCGUCUACUCUUGGACAGCCUUCUGAAAGGAAGAUUAAUACAAGAUGGCAUCAUGAGUCCGCAUGUUCACAUGAUUAAAGGUAUUCCGGUAGACGAUGGGGAUGCGUUCCAUUAGAUAGUAGGCGGGGUAACGGCCCACCUAGUCUUCGAUGGAUAGGGGUUCUGAGAGGAAGGUCCCCCACAUUGGAACUGAGACACGGUCCAAACUCCUACGGGAGGCAGCAGUGAGGAAUAUUGGUCAAUGGGCGAGAGCCUGAACCAGCCAAGUAGCGUGAAGGAUGACUGCCCUAUGGGUUGUAAACUUCUUUUAUAAAGGAAUAAAGUCGGGUAUGGAUACCCGUUUGCAUGUACUUUAUGAAUAAGGAUCGGCUAACUCCGUGCCAGCAGCCGCGGUAAUACGGAGGAUCCGAGCGUUAUCCGGAUUUAUUGGGUUUAAAGGGAGCGUAGAUGGAUGUUUAAGUCAGUUGUGAAAGUUUGCGGCUCAACCGUAAAAUUGCAGUUGAUACUGGAUAUCUUGAGUGCAGUUGAGGCAGGCGGAAUUCGUGGUGUAGCGGUGAAAUGCUUAGAUAUCACGAAGAACUCCGAUUGCGAAGGCAGCCUGCUAAGCUGCAACUGACAUUGAGG
rnacentral:rRNA from 1 species